rnacentral:rRNA from 1 species
UUUUACGGAGAGUUUGAUCCUGGCUCAGGACGAACGCUGGCGGCGUGCUUAACACAUGCAAGUCGAACGAUGAAGCCCAGCUUGCUGGGUGGAUUAGUGGCGAACGGGUGAGUAACACGUGAGUAACCUGCCCUUGACUCUGGGAUAAGCGCUGGAAACGGCGUCUAAUACCGGAUACGACCUGCCCCGGCAUCGGGUGCGGGUGGAAAGUUUUUCGGUCAAGGAUGGACUCGCGGCCUAUCAGCUAGUUGGUGAGGUAAUGGCUCACCAAGGCGACGACGGGUAGCCGGCCUGAGAGGGUGA